AUUGAACGCUGGCGGCAGGCCUAACACAUGCAAGUCGAGCGGAGCGGCGGACGGGUGCGUAAUGCCUCGGAAUCUGCCUGGUAUUGGUGGAUCACGUCCGGAAACGGGCUCUAAUCCCGCAUACUAUCCUAUGAGCCUAGGUCGGAUUAGCUAGUUGGUGGGGUAAAGGACUACCAAGGCGAAGAUCCGUAACUGGUCUGAGAGGAUGAUCAGUCACACUGGAACUGAGACACGGUACAGACUCCUACGGGAGGAAGCAGUGGGGAAUAUUGGACAAUGGGCGAAAGCCUGAUCCAGCCAUGCCGAGUGUGUGAAGAAGGUCUUCAGAUUGUAAAGCACUUUAAGUUGGGAGGCGUGACCAACAGAAUAAGCACCGGCUAACUUCGUGCCAGCAGCCGCGGUAAUAC
rnacentral:rRNA from 1 species